rnacentral:tRNA from 1 species
AAAAAGAUAAGCUAAAUAAUUAAGCUUAUGGGUUCAUACCCCAUCCAUGAAAAAAAUUCUCUUUUUA